AUUGAACGCUGGCGGCAUGCCUUACACAUGCAAGUCGAACGGCAGCACGGGAGCAAUCCUGGUGGCGAGUGGCGAACGGGUGAGUAAUAUAUCGGAACGUGCCCAGUCGUGGGGAUAACGUAGCGAAAGCUACGCUAAUACCGCAUACGAUCUAUGGAUGAAAGCGGGGGAUCGCAAGACCUCGCGCGAUUGGAGCGGCCGAUACCAGAUUAGGUAGUUGGUGAGGUAAAGGCUCACCAAGCCGACGAUCUGUAGCUGGUCUGAGAGGACGACCAGCCACACUGGGACUGAGACACGGCCCAGACUCCUACGGGAGGCAGCAGUGGGGAAUUUUGGACAAUGGGCGCAAGCCUGAUCCAGCAAUGCCGCGUGCAGGAUGAAGGCCUCGGUUGUAACU
rnacentral:rRNA from 1 species